ensembl:scaRNA
UGGACAUUUAUUUUUAUUCAGUUUCUUCCUAAGGUGAAGAUAACUCUUUGUAAAUGUCCUAGAGAAAUAUAGUAGCUUUCUGUUCACCCUUUGCAAGUAAAAAGGGUGGAUCGUUCCACUACUCACAUUU